AAACUCCGAAUGCCGUCAUCUUAUACUUGGGAGUCAGACUGUGGGUGAUAAGAUUCAUAGUCGAAAGGGCAACAGCCCAGAUCGUCAGCUAAGGUCCCUAAAUGUAAGUUAAGGGGUAAAGGAUGUGGGAUUGCACAGACAACCAGGAUGUUGGCUUAGAAGCAGCCACUCAUUCAAAGAGUGCGUAAUAGCUCACUGGUCGAG
rnacentral:rRNA from 1 species